rnacentral:lncRNA from 11 species
GGAAAAUGUAACAGGUGUUAUAGCUCAGCUGGGUAUGAGCUGCAUAAAAAAGGCUCACUCAGGCUCUGCCCAUAGAAUUCUCUUUUUAAACCAGAGCCUCAAGUAGGAAGAAACUAAUGACUUCAUUACCAUCUCAAUUCUGGGAAAUGUUUAGUCCAGACCUGAACCAUUAAAGGAAAGGGAUUUAAGCAUUUUCUUCCAAGAGUUGCCCAGACUGGCAUUGAGUGAAAGAGAUGAACUGAAUGCUGCAUUUUAGGAUGUUAUCCCAGGGAUGGAAGGGAAGUGAAGGAAAGCGUUUGGAAGAGUGGGGACUCAUCUUACCCUGACAAGGUGCCGAAAUGAGUCAUUGAUAAAUUAUCUGCUGCUGCUAGCUGUUUAUGCUGUCAUCUUAAAUCUAGGCGGUAGUAGGCAUUUUGCCAGCCUUACACAUCUCCUUCGAAAGACACACAUUUGCAUAUAUUCCCUGGCAUAUUAAAGGUAUUUUCUUUUUAUUGUCACC